rnacentral:misc_RNA from 1 species
UUCAUUAGGUUAUUCAUCUUAUUACAAUGCAGUUCCUCCUCCACCUUCUGCACCUGUCCCUAUAGUUGAUCAUGCACAGGGCAUCAGUAAUGGGCCCUGGGCCCCAAAUCCACCUGCGCCUCUGCCAGUUCCCUCUGCUUCAGAAAAGGCAACUUAUGGUACCGAUCCAGAGUAUGAGAAGUUCAUGGCAGAGAUGAAAUGAUGUGGCCUUUCUGGUAUUAGUUCCUGGUUCAGACUUCAGAGG